rnacentral:rRNA from 1 species
UUGGAGGGCAAGUCUGGUGCCAGCAGCCGCGGUAAUUCCAGCUCCAAUAGCGUAUAUUAAAGUUGUUGCAGUUAAAAAGCUCGUAGUUGAAUUUCGGGAUCAGAUUGUCGGUCGUGCCUCGGUACGCACUGGCAUUAUUGGUUCCUACCUUCUGAAGAACCGCGAUGUCAUUAAUUUGGUGUCGUGGGGAAUCAGGACUGUUACUUUGAAAAAAUUAGAGUGUUUAAAGCAGGCGCACGCUUGAAUACAUUAGCAUGGAAUAAUGAAAUAGGACGUUUGAUUCUAUUUUGUUGGUUUCUAGGAUCGACGUAAUGAUUAAUAGGGAUAGUUGGGGGCAUUAGUAUUCAAUUGUCAGAGGUGAAAUUCUUGGAUUUAUUGAAGACUAACUACUGCGAAAGCAUUUGCCAAGGAUGUUUUCAUUAAUCAAGAACGAAAGUUAGGGGAUCGAAGACGAUCAGAUACCGUCGUAGUCUUAACCAUAAACUAUGCCGACUAGGGAUCGGAUGAUGUUGAUUUUAUAAUGACUCAUUCGGCGCCUUACGGGAAAC